CCUAAACUUACAUAAUUAAUCUAAUCAGUUACCCGCAUACACAAUAUUAGGAAUGUAGCCCACGACUCCUUGCCUCUGAUAAAAAUUGGAUUUAUUGUUCCUUGACAGAUUAGUUCAAUUAUACACCGUUGCACUUUAACAUAGUUUGUUUCAUUAUCCUAGUUGCAGGUUUUUUAGCUUAUAAGUUAAAAAAGGUUUACCUGCUGUUUCUUUUACAAACCAACCAAACAGGAUCUCAUGUCUUAAACUUGCUUUUAAAUGAAAACCAGAGGCAUACAUAGGGUAUUUGACAUACCUUCUCACCCCUGAACCUUAAAAGUCUUGUAUGUGUGUGAGUGUUUCUCCUCUUACUGCAUUUUUUUACUUCUCCUUAUUCUUUGUAGUGUGUCUCUCUGCAACACCCUC